UGCAGCAUCCCAAUAAUCUAUAGGAUAUCUUUGUAACUAGGCCGGUGGCUUCCAUCUUGGCAUGGUAUCAGUAGCGUGUACUCAUCAUUAGACUGUUAUAGCACUCAAAUAGCAUGUGCAGAACCAUCUUCCCAAUUUGUGCCAAAUCUGGUAGCAUGGGCACCAUCUCAUAUGAUAAGAUCAUAUGCAAAACCAGCCUUGCAAACU
rnacentral:lncRNA from 1 species